GAGUUUGAUCAUGGCUCAGGAUGAACGCUAGCGGCAGGCUUAACACAUGCAAGUCGAGGGGCAGCAUGUCCAGCAAUGGAUGAUGGCGACCGGCGGAAGGGUGCGUAACGCGUGAGCAACAUGCCCUAUACAGGGAGAUACACCAGGGAAACUUGGUCUAAUAUCCCAUAGCAUUCAUUGAAGGCAUCUUUAAUGAAUUAAAGCUUCGGUGGUAUAGGAUUGGCUCGCGUGACAUUAGCCAGAUGGUGAGGUAACGGCUCACCAUAGCAAUGAUGUCUAGGGGUUUUGAGAGGAAGGCCCCCCACACUGGGACUGAGACACGGCCCAGACUCCUACGGGAGGCAGCAGUGAGGAAUAUUGGACAAUGGAUGGAAAUCUGAUCCAGCCAUGCCGCGUGCAGGAAGACGGCCUUAUGGGUUGUAAACUGCUUUUAUAUGGGAGCAAUAAGAACUACGUGUAGUUCGAUGAGAGUACCAUAUGAAUAAGCACCGGCUAACUCCGUGCCAGCAGCCGCGGUAAA
rnacentral:rRNA from 1 species